rnacentral:miRNA from 1 species
CCGGGGGGGGGGGGCCUGGG